GUGCUAACUUCAGCAGCACUUAUACUAAAAUUGGAAUGAUACAGAGAAGAUUAGCAUGGCCCCUAUGAAAGGACACAAAUUCAUAAGUAGUCCAUAUUUUU
rnacentral:snRNA from 1 species